AGGACGAACGCUGGCGGCGUGCUUAACACAUGCAAGUCGAGCGGAAAGGUCCCGUUCGGGGUACUCGAGCGGCGAACGGGUGAGUAACGACGUGAGCAAUCUGCCCCUAGCUCUGGGAGUAGCUCCGGGAAACCGGAAUUAAUACCUGAUACGACCACGGCUGACAUCGGCCAUGGUGGAAAGCUUUGCGGCUAGGGAGUGAGCUCGCGGCCUAUCGAGGCUUGGUUGGUGGGGUAACGGCCUACCAAGGCGACGACGGGUA
rnacentral:rRNA from 1 species